AUUGAACGCUGGCGGCAUGCCUUACACAUGCAAGUCGAACGGCAGCGGACCUUCGGUGCCGGCGAGUGGCGAACGGGUGAGUAAUAUAUCGGAACGUACCUUUCAGUGGGGGAUAACGUAGCGAAAGUUACGCUAAUACCGCAUAUUCUGUGAGCAGGAAAGCAGGGGAUCGCAAGACCUUGCGCUGAUUGAGCGGCCGAUAUCAGAUUAGCUAGUUGGUGAGGUAAAGGCUCACCAAGGCGACGAUCUGUAGCGGGUCUGAGAGGAUGAUCCGCCACACUGGAACUGAGACACGGUCCAGACUCCUACGGGAGGCAGCAGUGGGGAAUUUUGGACAAUGGCGGCAAGACCUCGAUCCACGCCACUGCCGCCGUGAGU
rnacentral:rRNA from 1 species